GAGAGAGAAAGGAAAAAGAUUCAGUUGUGUGAGAUGCCGGCGAAGUCUGCACCUGAGGCUCCUCCUCGGCUUGGAACAGCUGCACGUGGAUGGGGCAGCCCAGCCAUAUUCAGAACCCUGCUGUCCGCUUUCGUUCAGUCCUUGUAAUCAGCAUCAUCUCAUCCGCCUGCGCCUUUCAGCCCCCGGCAACAUGAUGCCUGCAGCCUGGUUCCCUCG